AGGAUUUGGUUUUGGAAUGAUGGCGUUGCCUUGCCGUGUGAUGUUAGUAAAGUAUUUCGAUAAGCGUUUGGCCUUUGCCACUGGUUUUGCAAACAUGGGAACUGGUGUCGGAGCCUUAGUUUUUAAUCCUCUAGCCAAGGCUCUUAUCGAUGAGUACACCUGGCGUGGAACAAUGCUAGCUGAAGCUGGGAUAAUCUUGAAUUGCCUGGUCUGUGCACUAGUAUUUAAGAUACCAGGGAAAAUUAACGACCACGGUACACAUACAAGAUACAACAAUGGCGACAGGGAACAGACAACUGAAGUCAAUCAAUCACUUAUUAACCAAGCCAAUUAUGAUAGCUGCCAUACAUAUCAAAAUACUAAAGUAGAAUCGAAGUUCAAUGCAUUAAAUGUGGAACAAAUUACGGAGGCUAGAAGCGAACUAUUUCAUGCAACUGCUGACGAACAAAGAGAAGUAUCAGACAACUGUUCUGUGAAAGAAAAUUAUGCGAAAGUAAUUAUGCAAACUACAGUGUUAUCGCAAAUGUCGAGUACCCCUGUAAUAAUCAAUGCCAAAAACAUUCAAAAAUAGCUAUAACUAAAACAACAUCGUUUUCGUCUUCCAGUUCAUGUACACAGACCGAACAUACAAACAAAAACAUUAACUCAUCGCUUUUUACAAACAGUCAGAUUAGAGAAUCAACAGGUGAUUAUAAUGAAAAACAAGACGAGAUUAAACAAAAACAUGCCACAUCUAAAAGGCAGAGGUGGAUCAGCAUUUCACUUCUGAAAAACCCAGGCUUUAUAAUAUUCCUUAUGGGCAAUGGUCUCAUAGAUUUAGCUCUCAACAUUCCGAUUGCAUUUAUUCCCGAUAUGAUGUAUCUGAAAGGAUUCAAGAUACAGGAAGCAGUUUGGACCAUUUUUGUUUUAGGUGUCGUUAGCACGGAAGUUCAAGCUCACUACGCGGUGUACUGAUACCGGAUUUGUUCGGCUCCGAGACCAUAGCUGAUCAUUUCGGUAUUACAAUGUUCUUCAGUGGAGUUGCUGCUCUAGUAAGCUUGCCUAUAUCAGGUGCUAUAUAUGACGUCACUGGCAGUUACCGUCUACCGUUCGUUAUUGCUGGUGGUGAACUCAUUACCAGUGGGCUAUUAUUAUUUCUGAUUCCAACGAUACAAACGUGUUGCCAUUCCAACAUAAAAACAAAGAAUUAAUCAAGCAGUGAUAUAUCUAAAUGUUAAAUAAUUAUCGUACUAUAUAUUAAUUUUAUAUCAUGUUUUAAUAAAAUCUGUGAAAAGAUACCUUGGAAGCAUAUAACGCAACAAAGCAACAUAAUAGCAGAGACCCGGUUUAACUGAGUUUGUUCAUGAGAGAUAAUGAAUUUUGUAACACCACUCUCGCCCAACAGAAACGGAUAAUGAAUUUUGUAACACCACUCUCGCCCAACAGAAACGGAUAGUUAAUUUUGUAACACCACUCUCGUCCAACAGAAACGGAUAGUGAAUUUUGUAACACCACUCUCGCCCAACAGAAACGGAUAAUGAAUUUUGUAACACCACUCUCGCCCAACAGAAACGGAUAGUGAACUUUGUAACACCACUCUCGCCCAACAGAAACGGCUUAAGUGGAAUUCUAAUAUAUUAAAAUGAAUGUGUUCCAUGAUCUCAAAGAACCGGAAAUGUAUAAACACUGAGACCAAGUACGGGGAGAUUUGUACACUUAUACUACUUUUGUCAUGGAUAAUAAAAGUGUAAAAAAAAUCCUUUGAAAGCAUUGAACGCUACCAAUUAACAUAACAGCAAAAUCGGUUUGACAGAGUCUGUUCGUAAGAGGUAAUAAUAUGUGCAACGUUUCUCUAAACACAUACGGCACAGUUUGUUCCGAAUAUCCGCGAUAAAGACAACGCUAGGGCCAAAUGAAUUCAUGGCAUGUAUUUGUCUCGUAUCUACCUCUUUAUUUGAUUUUCAUAUGAAAGAAAACGGCUACAAAUGUUAUACAUAUUGUAUUUUAUUCAUUUGACUCGAACUGAUAUAUUGUAAUGCGUUAUGAACAAAAUCUGCAAACCGUAUGCCAGCAAUAGGUUAGAAGUAAAAGCUGUUGUAAUUUGUCCCUGAAGCGGAACCUAGACGUGGCAUUUAUAAAAAUAAUGCAUUGCAAUAAGACAUCUGCAGACGUAAAAGUAGGCAUCAAGAACAAUCUUUAGACCCGAAGACAAAUAAUGAGACUGUGUGGAGACAUGAAAUGCUUACAUCGGUGCCUCUGCAAAGAAAUGCAUAUAGAGAGGCUGAUUGGCUGGAAAAGACUUUAUUCAAAUGUGAUAUUUCAUUUCAUAUGAU